rnacentral:snRNA from 1 species
AUCGCUUCUCAGCCUUUUGGCUAAGAUCAAGUGUACUAUUUUAUUAUGUUAGGUUUAGUAAACCCGAUAUGCAUAACGUGAAUAUAUUAAAAGUCACUGUAAAACAGACCAUGGCCUGUUGAUGUCAUACAUGUGUUUAGAACAAAAAAUUAUCCUUGUGUUAUGCUGAUUUAUU